rnacentral:rRNA from 1 species
AGCUCCAAUAGCGUAUAUUAAAGUUGUUGCAGUUAAAAAAACCUCGUAGUUGGAUUUCUGGCUGGGCAUGUGGGCCCGCUUUUAUGAGUGUGCACCAUAUAUGUCUGGCCAUCCUUUGGGAGAGCCACAGUGGCAUUAAGUUGUUGGUGUGGGGAUCCCAAUCCUUUACUGUGAAGAAAAUAGAGUGUUCAAAGCAGACUUACGACGUUGAAUAUAUUAGCAUGGAAUAAUAACAUAGGACUAUUGUACUAUUUUGUUGGUUUGUGCACAAUAGUAAUGAUUAACAGGGACAGUUGGGGGUAUUUGUAUUCCAUUGUCAGAGGUGAAAUUCUUGGAUUUUUGGAAGGCAAACUACUGCGAAAGCAUUUACCAAAGAUGUUUUCA